CCCCAGCCUUCCCCAUGACAUGUGUGCCCUCCUCUGGGCUGUCCUUGCUCCUCAUCUUCCUUCUAGAGUCCUCAAGGCCAGGCUGGUCCCCAGGUCCCCAGGAGGGCAUCUCUACUUUUCCAUGGAUGGGAGGUUGUGUGUGCCCAUGGGUCCAUGGAUGGGAGGUUGUGUGUGCCCAUAGGUCCAUGGAUGGGAGGUUGUGUGUGCCCAUAGGUCCAUGAAUGGGAGGUUGUGUGUGCCCAUAGGUCCAUGGAUGGGAGGUUGUGUGUGCCCAUAGGUCCAUGGAUGGGAGGUUGUGUGUGCCUAUGGGUCCCUCUUGGCCUGGAGUUUUUAUUGCUCUUGUCCCCUGCCUUACCUGCUGGUAGACCUCCACAGCUGGCUUCCACAAGUGCCUCAGGCCCAGCCCUUCCACAUCGAACA